UCGAACGGAGCUUAAAGAGCUUGCUUUUUAAGCUUAGUGGCGGACGGGUGAGUAACGCGUGAGCAACCUGCCCAUAAGAGGGGGAUAACAGCUGGAAACGGCUGCUAAUACCGCAUAAGACCACAAAGUCACAUGGCAAAGGGGUCAAAGAUUUAUCGCUUAUGGAUGGGCUCGCGUCUGAUUAGCUAGUUGGUAGGGUAAAGGCCUACCAAGGCGACGAUCAGUAGCCGACCUGAGAGGGUGACCGGCCACAUUGGGACUGAGACACGGCCCAAACUCC
rnacentral:rRNA from 1 species